CUAAAACAUGCAAGUCGAACGGCAGCACAGUAAGAGCUUGCUCUUAUGGGUGGCGAGUGGCGGACGGGUGAGGAAUACAUCGGAAUCUACUCUUUCGUGGGGGAUAACGUAGGGAAACUUACGCUAAUACCGCAUACGACCUACGGGUGAAAGCGGAGGACCUUCGGGCUUCGCGCGAUUGAAUGAGCCGAUGUCGGAUUAGCUAGUUGGCGGGGUAAAGGCCCACCAAGGCGACGAUCCGUAGCUGGUCUGAGAGGAUGAUCAGCCACACUGGAACUGAGACACGGUCCAGACUCCUACGGGAGGCAGCAGUGGGGAAUAUUGGACAAUGGGCGCAAGCCUGAUCCAGCCAUGCCGCGUGGGUGAAGAAGGCCUUCGGGUUGUAAAGCCCUUUUGUUGGGAAAGAAAAGCAGUCGGUUAAUACCCGAUUGUUCUGACGGUACCCAAAGAAUAA
rnacentral:rRNA from 1 species